AUGCGAUAAGUAAUGUGACUUGCAAUCAUCGUGAAUCAUCGAAUCUUUGAACGCACAUUGCGCCCUAUGGUAUUCCGUAGGGCAUGCCUGUCUGAGCGUCAGCUCCCCCCCACUCAAGCCUCUUUAUUGAGGCUUGGAUUUACUUGAAGAAGUGGCUGAUAAAGCUACUCUUUAGAAAUUUAUAGGCAGUAUGGCACCUGAACCAGGCGUAAUAAGGAUAUAAAAGCGUCUCUCUUUAGGAAAGUUGUACUUGCCUCAACCCACCCAUUAUUCUUCUGGGUGACCUCAGAUCAGGUAGGGAUACCCGCUGAACUUAA
rnacentral:rRNA from 1 species